rnacentral:rRNA from 1 species
AUUGAACGCUGUCGGCAGGCUUAACACAUGCAAGUCGAGCGAGCGGCGGACGGGUGAGUAAUGUCUGGGAAACUGACUGAUGGAGGGGGAUAACUAAUGGAAACGGUAGCUAAUACCGCAUACCAUCAGAUGUGCCCAGAUGGGAUUAGAGAGUAGGUGGGGUAAGGGCUCACCUAGGCGACGAUCCCGAGCUGGUCUGAGAGGAUGACCAGCCACACGGGAACUGAUACACGGUCCAGACUCCUACGGGAGGCAGCAGUGGGGAAUAUUGCACAAUGGGCUAAAGCCUGAUGCAGCCAUGCCGCGUGUGGGAAGAAGGCCUUCGGGUUGUAAAGCACUUUCAGCGAGGAGGCGUUACUCGCAGAAGAAGCACCGGCUAACUCCGUGCCAGCAGCCGCGGUAAUAC